GGUUAAAUAAAAAAGAAUUCUGGUAGAUUUGAAGUUGAACGGGAUACAACGAUAGAAGCAUGGGAAGAGGCAACGGUCGAGUUCCGCCGGCGAAGCAUUCCUCGAGCGCCGAAUGCCCACCAUCUCCAAUUACUCACCGUCGACCGAAGAAGCGAAAACGGAACCGAGAAACCGAAACUCUGAAUACAGCCACCGGUGCACUCAAUCUACCGAGGCCGAAUCGCUCCAAUAAGUACAAUAAUCGUAGUACUUUGAAGUCCUCCAGUCCAUAUGGUUCUCGCAAAUGGUUAUCCUCCUCUCGCAAUUGUGAUCCUUUUACAGAUAGAAUUAUUUUCAUGUCAUACAAUAUACUAGGCACUCAAAAUGCUACAAAUCAUCCAGAUUUGUAUGCCAAGGUCUUGCCUAAGUAUUUGGAUUGGAACCGCCGCAAAAGUCUGUUGUAUAAAGAAAUUGGUUGUUACAAUGCAGACAUCAUGUGUCUCCAGGAGGUUGACCGCUUCAAUGAAAUAGAUGCACUUCUCAUUAAUGAUGGUUUUGUUGGAGUUCACAAGGAACGCACGGGUGAUUCAUGUGAUGGCUGUGCAAUAUUCUGGAAAGACAAACUGUUUACCCUUUUACACCAAGAGAACAUGGAGUUUGACAAGUUUGGCCUUCGUAAUAAUGUUGCUCAGUUUUGUGUGUUAAAGAUAAAACAAAGGAAAUCAAGGUCCAAUAUAGAUAAUCAAAUAUCAUCGGCUCAUUUCCCUCGGGUAUUACUUGUUGGAAAUAUUCAUGUUCUUUUCAACCCAAGACGAGGAGACAUUAAACUUGGACAGAUGAGAUUGUUUCUUGAGAAAGCAUAUGAAUUAUCACAAGAAUGGGGAAAAAUUCCAGUUAUCCUUGGUGGGGAUAUGAAUAGCAUGCCAAAGAGUGCAAUGUACAAGUUUCUGGCAUCAGCUGAGCUAGAUCUCCUGCUAAAUGACCGGAAAAACAUAUGUGGUCAGAUAGAUGCAUCAGAGUCCAGAGCAUUUCAAUCUAAUAAUUAUCAUCAAGCUAGGAACUAUCACAUGUGCAGCUCUUGGAAUUCUGCUUGGAGGAUGCAUUCAAAUAGAUGGAGUGACGAAGAGCUACGGAAUGCUACAGGGUCUCAAGUAACUCAGCUUCAGCACCCUUUGAGACUCCAAAGUGCGUACUCAGGAGUUCAUGGAAACUCAAGAACAAGAGAUAGGUGUGGAGAACCUUUAGCGACAUCUUAUCAUUCCAAGUUCAUGGGCACUGUUGACUACAUAUGGCAUAGUCAAGGGAUUGUACCUGUAAGAGUUCUUGAGACCUUACCUCUUGAUGUACUAAGAAAAAUGGGUGGAUUGCCAUGUAAGAAAUGGGGAAGUGAUCAUCUGGCUCUUGUAUGUGAGCUUGCCUUCGUUGAUGACGAUGACGAUGAGACAUGAUUUAUUCAGGCUUCAAUAUCUCUUCUGUUGUUUUCCUUCUCCUCAAGGGGUGGUUGUAUUCUUACCAAAAUUAUUCAGAUGUGUAAAUUCAUAACGGACUGCAAUGGGCUUGUUCGUGGAUGGGGAUUAGAUAGCAUAUCCCGUCGGCGGUUUGAGGACAGAGUAGAAUAGUAACUUCUAGUAUCAGGAACGCUUAAAGAUGACCUUUAUUAUCAGGAUGAGCACAUGUGUCAAAAUUUUACUUGUACCAUAAUCAAAUUUACAACUUCAAUGCUAAAUCAUCAAUUAGGACAUUUGUAUGUUGUUAUCAUCUCAUUUAUACUUAAUAAAUUUAGUUUACAAGUGUUAAGAAUUAGAAACCUUACUUUUUGUGAUUCUGUCAAUUUAAGAAUUCUCGUUUCUUUAUCUAAAUUCUAUGGAAUGUUUGAAUGUAGUACAUUACGA